rnacentral:rRNA from 1 species
UUAAGCGACUAAGCGUACACGGUGGAUGCCCUGGCAGUCAGAGGCGAUGAAGGACGUGCUAAUCUGCGAUAAGCGUCGGUAAGGUGAUAUGAACCGUUAUAACCGGCGAUUUCCGAAUGGGGAAACCCAGUGUGAUUCGUCACACUAUCAUUAACUGAAUCCAUAGGUUAAUGAGGCGAACCGGGGGAACUGAAACAUCUAAGUACCCCGAGGAAAAGAAAUCAACCGAGAUUCCCCCAGUAGCGGCGAGCGAACGGGGAGCAGCCCAGAGCCUGAAUCAGUGUGUGUGUUAGUGGAAGCGUCUGGAAAGGCGCGCGAUACAGGGUGACAGCCCCGUACACAAAAAUGCACAUGCUGUGAGCUCGAUGAGUAGGGCGGGACACGUGGUAUCCUGUCUGAAUAUGGGGGGACCAUCCUCCAAGGCUAAAUACUCCUGACUGACCGAUAGUGAACCAGUACCGUGAGGGAAAGGCGAAAAGAACCCCGGCGAGGGGAGUGAAAAAGAACCUGAAACCGUGUACGUACAAGCAGUGGGAGCACGCUUAGGCGUGUGACUGCGUACCUUUUGUAUAAUGGGUCAGCGACUUAUAUUCUGUAGCAAGGUUAACCGAAUAGGGGAGCCGAAGGGAAACCGAGUCUUAACUGGGCGUUAAGUUGCAGGGUAUAGACCCGAAACCCGGUGAUCUAGCCAUGGGCAGGUUGAAGGUUGGGUAACACUAACUGGAGGACCGAACCGACUAAUGUUGAAAAAUUAGCGGAUGACUUGUGGCUGGGGGUGAAAGGCCAAUCAAACCGGGAGAUAGCUGGUUCUCCCCGAAAGCUAUUUAGGUAGCGCCUCGUGAAUUCAUCUCCGGGGGUAGAGCACUGUUUCGGCAAGGGGGUCAUCCCGACUUACCAACCCGAUGCAAACUGCGAAUACCGGAGAAUGUUAUCACGGGAGACACACGGCGGGUGCUAACGUCCGUCGUGAAGAGGGAAACAAC